AAUAAAUUUUUUAUAGUUUAUAAAUUUAUUAUAAAUUUAUUUUGCAUAUAAAUUUUAGUGUUGAUUUUUCAUUAUUUUAAUAAUUUUUGAAUUUUAAAAUAUAGCAAUUAAUAUUAAAAAUUUAAGAAAUUAAGAUUUAGUAAUAUUUAAAUUAAUAACAAAUUUUGUGCCAGCAGUUGCGGUUAUACAAAAAUUAAAUUAAAUUUUAUUAGUAAUUAAUUUAUAAAAAUUUUAUUUAAUUAAAUAUUAAAUUAAUAGGUGAAAUUUUUAUUUAAUUUAAUUUAAUUUAAUUUUAUAAUUUAAUAAAUUUAUAUUAUAAACUAGGAUUAGAUACCCUAUUAUUAAAAAUUUAAAUUUAAAAUACUAAAAUAGUAUAUAAUUAUUUAUUGAAACUUAAAUAAUUUGGCGGUAUUUUAGUUCAUUUAGAGGAAUCUGUUUAUUAAUUGAUAAUCCACGAUUAAAUUUACUUAAUUUAAAAUUUUGUAUAUCGUUGUUAAAAAAAUAUUUUUAAAUGAAAAUAAUAUUUUAAUUUUAUAAUAAAAAAAUUAAAUCAGAUCAAGAUGCAGAUUAUAAUUAAGAAUAUGAUGGAUUACAAUAAAUUUAUUUAAAUGGAUUUUUUUUUGUAAUAAAAAUUUGAAAGUGGAUUUAAAUGUAAUUUUAUUUAUUUUAAUAAAAUGAUUAUAUAUUAAAAUAUGUACAUAUUGCCCGUCGCUUUCAUAAAUAAAUUGGAAUAAGUCGUAACAAAGUAGAGGUACUGGAAAGUGUUUCUAGAAAUAA
rnacentral:ncRNA from 1 species